GUUAGGAAUAUUGGACAAUGGGCGCAAGCCUGAUCCAGCCAUGCCGCGUGAGUGAUGAAGGCCUUCGGGUUGUAAAGCUCUUUAGUCCACGAAUAUAAUGACUGUAGUGGAAGAAUAAGCCCCGGCUAACUUCGUGCCAGCAGCCGCGGUAAUACGAAGGGGGCGAGCGUUAUUCGGAAUCACUGGGCGUAAAGCGUGCGUAGGCUGUUUUGUAAGUCAGAAGUGAAAGCCCAGGGCUUAACCCUGGAAUUGCUUUUGAAACUACAAGACUCGAAUUCGGGAGAGGAUAGCGGAAUUGUCAGUGUAGCAGUGAAAUGCGUAGAUAUUGACAGGAACACCAGUGGCGCAAGCGGCUAUCUGGACCGAUAUUGACGCUGAGGCACGAAAGCGUGGGGAGCAAACAGGAUUAGAAACCCUUGUAGUCC
rnacentral:rRNA from 1 species